CGUGUAGGCGGCCCUGCAAGCCUGGCGUGAAAUCCCGGGGCCCAACCCCGGAACCGCGCUGGGAACUGCUGGCUUGAGCCGCUGUGGCGCAGCCGGAAUUCCAGGUGUAGGGGUGAAAUCUGUAGAUAUCUGGAAGAACACCGAUGGCGAAGGCAGGCUGCGAGCGGACGGCUGACGCUGAGGCGCGAAGGCGCGGGGAGCGAACA
rnacentral:rRNA from 1 species